rnacentral:rRNA from 1 species
UACGGGGGGGGCAAGCGUUGUUCGGAAUUACUGGGCGUAAAGGGCUCGUAGGCGGCCAACUAAGUCAGACGUGAAAUCCCUCGGCUUAACCGGGGAACUGCGUCUGAUACUGGAUGGCUUGAGUUUGGGAGAGGGAUGCGGAAUUCCAGGUGUAGCGGUGAAAUGCGUAGAUAUCAGGAGGAACACCGGUGGCGAAGGCGGGUCUCUGGGCCGAUAGUGACGCUGAGGAGCGAAAGCGUGGGGAGCGAACAGG